UACGUAGGGUGCGAGCGUUGUCCGGAAUUAUUGGGCGUAAAGAGCUCGUAGGCGGUUUGUCGCGUCUGCCGUGAAAGUCCGGGGGCUCAACUCCGGAUCUGCGGUGGGUACGGGCAGACUAGAGUGAUGUAGGGGAGACUGGAAUUCCUGGUGUAGCGGUGAAAUGCGCAGAUAUCAGGAGGAACACCGAUGGCGAAGGCAGGUCUCUGGGCAUUAACUGACGCUGAGGAGCGAAAGCAUGGGGAGCGAACAGG
rnacentral:rRNA from 1 species